rnacentral:tRNA from 2 species
GAGAGAUGGCUGAGCGGUCUAAGGCAGCGGUCUUGAAAACCGCCGUAGGUUCUCCUACCGUGGGUUCGAAUCCCACUCUCUCC